rnacentral:rRNA from 1 species
AGGAUGAACGCUGGCGGCGUGCCUAACACAUGCAAGUCGAACGUCCUGUCUCGCAAGAGGCAGGGAGUGGCGGACGGGUGAGUACCACGUGGGUCAUCUACCGUGAGGUGAGGAAUACCGGCGAGAAAUCGCCGACAAGACCGCAUAGCCUCGGUGCAAGCCGAGGAAAGCUUUCUCGAGAGAGGGAGCGCCACACGAGGAGCCUGCGCCCGAUUAGCUAGCUGGUGGAGUAACGGUUCACCAGGGCGACGAUCGGUAGCUGGUCUGAGAGGACGAUCAGCCACACUGGGAUUGAGAACGGCCCAGACUCCUACGGGGGGCAGCAGUGAGGAAUUUUCGUCAAGUGGGGCAACCCUGAACGAGCAACGCCGCGUGCAGGAAGAAGGUUUUCGGAUCGUAAACUGCUUUUCGUCGGGGAAGAGGAACGGACGGUACCCGAGGAAUCGAGCCCCGGCUAACUACGUACCAGCAGCCGC